GAAGGGAAACCGAGUCUUAACUGGGCGUUAAGUUGCAGGGUAUAGACCCGAAACCCGGUGAUCUAGCCAUGGGCAGGUUGAAGGUUGGGUAACACUAACUGGAGGACCGAACCGACUAAUGUUGAAAAAUUAGCGGAUGACUUGUGGCUGGGGGUGAAAGGCCAAUCAAACCGGGAGAUAGCUGGUUCUCCCCGAAAGCUAUUUAGGUAGCGCCUCGUGAAUUCAUCUCCGGGGGUAGAGCACUGUUUCGGCAAGGGGGUCAUCCCGACUUACCAACCCGAUGCAAACUGCGAAUACCGGAGAAUGUUAUCACGGGAGACACACGGCGGGUGCUAACGUCCGUCGUGAAGAGGGAAACAACCCAGACCGCCAGCUAAGGUCCCAAAGUCAUGGUUAAGUGGGAAACGAUGUGGGAAGGCCCAGACAGCCAGGAUGUUGGCUUAGAAGCAGCCAUCAUUUAAAGAAAGCGUAAUAGCUCACUGGUCGAGUCGGCCUGCGCGGAAGAUGUAACGGGGCUAAACCAUG
rnacentral:rRNA from 1 species